UCUUCACAUUUACCCCAGAUUAUCUGAGCCACAAGCAGGAAGGAAUAAUCCCAAAUGCGAGAGCUCCCAUCUCUCUCUGAGAUGACGAAGCAGGCUACUCUCAGCAGUGCUGCAUCCUGUCGGAAGCAACAGCACACCUGAACACUGGGUUAGCGCUCUCCAUGUGCCUGCCAGUGUUGGUUCUGUGACUAAAAAUCCUGUCCUUUUACUGACCUUUUAAGAGUGGAGUUGGCAAGCCAUGCAGGAGAAACUGUUCAAAGUGACUCAGGCAAGAAAGGAGCAAGUCUAAAGUAUGUGUGUUGGAGAGAGCACAGCCACCACCAUGAGCCUCCUUAACAAGCCCAAGAGUGAGAUGACCCAGAGGAGCUACAGAAGCAGGAGGAAGAAGAAUUUAACACUGGUCCACUCUCUGUGCUCACACAAUCAGUCAAGAACACUCAAGUGCUUAUUAAUUGCCGCAAUAACAAGAAACUCCUGGGCCGGGUGAAAGCCUUUCAUAGGCACUGCAACAUGGUGCUAGAGAAUGUGAAGGAGAUGUGGACUGAGGUCCCCAAAAGUGGCAAGGGUAAGAAGAAGUCUAAGCCAGUCAACAAAGAUCGCUACAUCUCCAAGAUGUUCCUGCGUGGGGACUCAGUCAUUGUGGUCCUGCGGAACCCACUUAUUGCUGGCAAAUAGGGCCCUCUUCCCCGCUGACAGCUUGCUCCCCCGUCUUGUGAAGGCCUGCUCUUUGUGAUGGGAAUAAUAAAGCCCUGUGGGUUUUUU